UACGGCGGAACACGAGAAAUUCCGUCGGAAUCAGCCGGGACCAUCCGGCAAGCCUAAAUACUACCUAGUGACCGAUAGUGAACCAGUACCGUGAGGGAAAGGUGAAAAGAACCCCGGAAGGGGAGUGAAAAGCACUUGAAACCGUAUGCUUACAAGUAGUCAGAGCCCGUUAAUGGGUGAUGGCGUACCUUUUGUAGAAUGGACCGGCGAGUGACGAUUUCAUGCAAGGUUAAUCUGAAGAAGAGGAGCCGCAGCGAAAGCGAGUCUGAAUAGGGCGUGCAGUAUGAGGUCGUCGACCCGAAACCAGGUGACCUACCCAUGUGCAGGGUGAAGGUGCGGUGAAACGCACUGGAGGCCCGAACCCACGUAUGUUGAAAAAUGCGGGGAUGACGUGUGGGUAGCGGUGAAAUUCCAAUCGAACCUGGAGAUAGCUGGUUCUCUCCGAAAUAGCUUUAGGGCUAGCCUCGGAUGAUGCAUCGUGGAGGUAGAGCGACUGUUUGGACGAGGGCCCCUUGCGGGGUACCGAAUCCUGAUAAACUCCGAAUGCCACAGAUGUUAAUCCGGGAGUCACACUGCGAGUGAUAAGAUCCGUAGUGGAAAGGGAAACAACCCAGACCGUCGGCUAAGGUCCCCAAAUCCUUGUUAAGUGGAAAAGGAUGUGGGGCUGCUUAGACAACUAGGAUGUUGGCUUAGAAGCAGCCAUCAUUUAAAGAGUGCGUAAUAGCUCACUAGUCGAGUGGCCCUGCGCCGAAAAUUUACCGGGGCUAAACAAGGUACCGAAGCCACGGAUAGAACCUUUGGUUCUAUGGUAGGAGAGCGUUCUAAUCAGCAUAGAAGCCUGACUGUGAAGACAGGUGGAGCGAUUAGAAGUGAGAAUGCCGGUAUGAGUAGCGAAAGACAGGUGAGAAUCCUGUCCACCGAAUGACUAAGGUUUCCUGGGGAAGGCUCGUCCUCCCAGGGUUAGUCGGGACCUAAGCUGAGGCCGAACGGCGUAGGCGAUGGUCAACAGGUUGAUAUUCCUGUACCAGUUUCUUUUGUUUGACCGAUGGAGGGACGCAGCAGGCUAAGAUAUGCCCACUGAUGGAUGUGGGUGCAAAUAAUAAGUCUGGCGAUGAGUCAAAUGCUUAUCGCUAAGGACAAGUUAUGACGCGGAGGGAAGUACAGUACCGAAGUAUCUGACGUCACACUGCCAAGAAAAGCUUCUAGGGAGAAAGCAACUGCCCGUACCGCAAACCGACACAGGUAGUCGAGAUGAGAAUUCUAAGGUGAGCGAGCGAACUCUCGUUAAGGAACUCGGCAAAAUGACCCCGUAACUUAGGGAGAAGGGGUGCUAACGCAAGUUAGCCGCAGUGAAUAGGCCCAGGCGACUGUUUACCAAAAACACAGGUCUCUGCUAAUUCGAAAGAAGAUGUAUAGGGGCUGACACCUGCCCGGUGCUGGAAGGUUAAGAGGACAAGUUAGCGUAUGCGAAGCUUUGAAUUGAAGCCCCAGUAAACGGCGGCCGUAACUAUAACGGUCCUAAGGUAGCGAAAUUCCUUGUCGGGUAAGUUCCGACCCGCACGAAAGGUGUAACGAUCUGGGCACUGUCUCAACGAGAGACUCGGUGAAAUUAUAGUACCUGUGAAGAUGCAGGUUACCCGCGACAGGACGAAAAGACCCCAUGGAGCUUUACUGUAGCUUGAUAUUGAGUGUCUGUACGGUUUGUACAGGAUAGGUAGGAGCCAUUGAACUCUGGACGCCAGUCUAGAGGGAGGCAUUGGUGGGAUACUACCCUCACCGUACGGCCACUCUAACUCGCGCCCCUUAACGGGGUGGAAGACAGUGUCAGGUGGGCAGUUUGACUGGGGCGGUCGCCUCCUAAAGGGUA
rnacentral:rRNA from 1 species